rnacentral:rRNA from 1 species
CAGUAGCCACGGGAACACGGAGGGAGCUAGCGUUGUUCGGAAUUACUGGGCGUAAAGCGCACGUAGGCGGCUUUGUAAGUUAGAGGUGAAAGCCUGGAGCUCAACUCCAGAAUUGCCUUUAAGACUGCAUCGCUUGAACCCAGGAGAGGUGAGUGGAAUUCCGAGUGUAGAGGUGAAAUUCGUAGAUAUUCGGAAGAACACCAGUGGCGAAGGCGGCUCACUGGACUGGUAUUGACGCUGAGGUGCGAAAGCGUGGGGGGCAAACAGGAUUAGAUACCCCUGUAGUCCCUGUCUCUUAUAC